rnacentral:rRNA from 1 species
GACAGAGGUGCCAAGCGUUAGGCGGAAUCACUGGGCUUAAAGCGUGUGUAGGCGGAUGCCUAAGUACCUUGUGAAAUCCCACGGCUCAACCGUGGAACUGCUUGGUAUACUGGGUGUCUUGAGCCAUCUAGGGGCUACCGGAACAAAUGGUGGAGCGGUGAAAUGCGUAGAUAUCAUUUGAACGCCAAUGGUGAAAACAGGUAGCUGGGGAUGUGCUGACGCUGAGACACGAAAGCCAGGGAGCAAACGGG